CGGAGGGGCUAGGGGCGGUUGGCCCAGAGUGGACACCAUGUGAGUCCCUACUAGGUCCCAUGCAAACAUCCGCGGCCGGCUGACUCUUGCUUCCGGGUUUGCGUUCCAGCAGCUGGAACACAACACAGAAGCUAUUAUCUGCUCCAGGCUCCAGCUAGCUGCCACUUCCGGGUGCCGUUAGACGGGAGCAGUGUCUGCAGCUGCUGGGCUCGUGUUAGUGGAAACAUGUGACUGACAUGCACACUUGUUUCCAUUGCCAUUUGCUGUGUAGGGGCCGUUGUGGCCGGACAGAGCUGCCAGGGUGGUCAGAAGUGAAGCCAUACCUCAGCAGCGUCAGACAGUGUGCUGGGAGAUAAGGAUCGUCUGACCAUGGAGGACGAUCUGAUUGGAUAGUAUGGGGGCAGGUGGAAGGUGUACUGUGCCUUGCUGAACACUGUUUGCAAGUGAAGCGGGGAAAGGUCCCAUCCAGAGAGGUUUAUUUCAGUUACAGCAAUGUUUCUGCACUGAAGAUGCCAGUGUCCAAAACUGACUGGGUCCUGGCCUCAGAAAUGAAUAAGAUCUUCAAAUUCUGUUUUAUGAAAGAAGCAUGGAAAUCAACCUUUGUUUUUCAUCGUGGACCAGUGUUGUGUGAUAUGCCUUCAAAAAUAUCUACAUUUGUGAGUGCAAAAUUCUGACCAUUAAAGAACAUUUCAUAGUAUUUUGGUGUUUUUGCACUAUUGCUUCUUUUCUUUUGUAGCUCAAAAUCUAAGGGAUUGAAUUCUCUUAUGGUUCAUUUCUCCUUUCAAGUUCUCGAUCAGCAUCCCUUGUAUUCAUUUAACAGUGGGUCCUCUCUGUAAGCAUUAGACAAGUGCAGGAAGAGUCUGAGGUCACUAUGUUACAGGAGAAAGGGACUUCCCUAAGCAGAGAGCAAAGGUCUCUGAAACUCAGCUUGCGGACCACUAUGGAGCUGCCAUGGCAAUGCCCGAUGUGAGGGUGCACAACCAAUAGGACCCCAGGUGAUGGAACUGAAAAGCUUCUGGGAUGAAUGUUAGUACAAUAUUUUCAAAACUCUGAAGUUCCAUGAAAGAAUAGAACACUUGUGCAGAGAGAUCACCGGUGUCCCCCGAGAGCUGUACAUGAAGAUUGUACUUUGGGAGGGAGGCAGGUGUAACAUGUAAGUGGAAGAUAUGGGCCAAUGACUGUAUAACAUGUACAGUAUAAGAAUCCAUAGUAUUAUCACUUUAUUAUACUCUUGUUAUAUUAUAACUAUAUACUUACCCAUGGGCGAAGCCCUUGGAAUGCAGGAAUUGGAGCCCACAUACAAUUUCUGCACUGUAGAAUCUGUUGGAUAGAAAAUAAGUUAAUGUUACAUUGUUAGGAUGUGUACAUAAUGGCUGAGGAUUUCCAGCCAACACCCCCCACAUUUUCCCACAAUGUCCCCAUUUAUUUUGUUUCACAUUUAUCAACUGCCUAAUAUAAUGUUUCUAGUGUUGUGCAUUGGUGCAAGUCACUAUAUAUUGUAUAUGGCUUAUUAGAGUUUAUGUAAAAGGAGUAUUGGGAUGUCUUCAAGAUGACGCUCACAAAGUAUCCUUAUAUAAUAACAGCUGCUUUAUUUGUCAGGAUGGAAGACAAUUUACAGAAACAAUUCUAAUAACAUAGAAGGAUUAAGGGGGACAGGUACUGAGCAGUGAUAAAAGUGGAGAAGUGAGCCAGUGGAAAAGUUGCCCAUGGCAACCAAUCAGCAUUGAUGUAACAUUUAUAAUUUGCAUACUAGAAAAGUAUACAAAGCAGCUGAUUGGUUGCCAUGGGCAACUUCACCACUGGCUCACUUCUCUACUGUUAUCACUGCUAAGUACAUGUCCCCCAAAGUGCUAUUUCUUAGGCUCACGCUAUUUUGUACUUUUUGCUUGUUUUUUUAAAAUAUAUAAUCUCUCAUCAAGUCCUUCCUCUAUCAUGUGGCUCUAACAAGAUAUCAUUCUAUGUCCUCACCUUGCACUGGAGAUGGUAAGAGGCCCAUUCCUCAUCAGAAGAUGUUCCAAGUCACCACCACUCGCAUACUCCAUACCAAGGAGCACGUGCUUCUGUUUAUGGGAGAAGCAAUAGUGUUAUUAUACAUGUCAGGAAAGUCAGGAGGGAAAGAGUUGGGCCGUAGGGAAUGUCGUCUUCUGACCAAAAUAAGUAAAGAUAAAUUAUAUACUUUUUUCAUUUUUAAAAAUGUCCUUCGCUUCUUUUCUCCUCAUGGGAAUAUA